GUGGAUAGAUAUGCCUUUUUGAUAACUUUAUUUGAGUUUAAGGUGGAUGGGCUACAGCGGCUACUUUAAGGUGGAUGGGCUACAGCGGCUACUUUAAGGUGGAUGGGCUACAGCGGCUA